AGUUCGACUCGCCUGCAUCUCCUGACAACAUAGCUGACAGGGGAAAGCUUGUCAUCGUGAAGAUAGAGGCGAGAGCUGAAGAAGAGACAAUCGACGUCGUAUCGUGAAAUUUUGUGUUUAUGUGCGUGAGUGUAUAGUGAACGCGAAAAAAGCUAAACCACGAGGAAAGUUUUUAAGACCAUGUGCUGAAAUAGAUUUACGCCAUCAGAAGCCGAUCAAAAUUCCUAGACAUCGCUCAGUUAUCAAAAAUUAUAAUUCCAUUAAAACAAAAAAAAAAUAAACAAAACUAGAUUAUCUGUGCUAACUUCGAGUUUUUUCGAUUCCAUAUUGGAAAUACUUACUUCAGUGUAUUUUAACAUUAAUGAAUUUCAAAUUUUCAUUGAUAAUUCAGAAAAUAUAUUUGAAGGAAUCAAACAAGAGUUUUUUAUCAUUUUACGUACUUACGUAGCAGCACUUAAUAUCACAACAUUAUAUACGAAUAGAGCAGAUUUUCUGAGCAAAGUUUGUAUUGAUCAGCACAACAAUAAACUUUGUUGGAGUCAGCCAAUUGGAGAUUUCGUUGCAAAAGUGAUGUACCCUAAUAUUUUUUUAAAGGCUUUGUGCUUGGUUCCAAUCGUAUCAAAUUGUCAUCAGAAGAAUUAAUGUCUCAAAAUUUAGGAAAUGAAAUAUACAGCAAACUUCAAAAAGAAUCUCAAAUUCCAUGUGAAGAGUGCACAGUUAUUGAUUUUAUAUGAAUUAGAGAUAAAAAAUUUACUUUGCAUUGACGUAGAAGAAUGUGAUACAAAUAACCAAAACUGUUCAGUACAAUUAGACAAUCUCAAUGUAUAUCUUACCGUUGAUAAACAAAAGCUCACCUUAGUUGGAGUUGUAGCAUAUAAAUAACCAAUUGGAAAUGUUAAGGUUCGACACUAUUUAUCAUAUUGUAGAGACACUGAAGGAUCUUGGUUCAUGUAUGAUGAUACGGCUAACAUAGAUAAACCAAUUAGAUUAAAAACUAAGGAUACAUUUUUAAAUAUAGCACUCGCUAUUUACUUUGCAUUUAGUACUCAUGAAUCAACAUCAUAAUUGUCUUCUACUGUAUUGCAGAUUUUAAUAAUAAAUAUUGGACAAUGUGAUAAAGUAAUUGUAGCUUAACUUACCUUUCACCAAAGAAAACCAAAAUAGAAGUUUGGUUGAGCAGACGAAGAGAGUCGCCCAGUGUCGAGAUGGCUUAUUAUUAAGACUUAAUACACCUUCAUAAUCACCAAUAUCGAAGUCUGUUAUUAAUUGGACCAACAGCUUUUAAAUUGACAAAAAACCAAAUAAUACAUUUAAAUAUUUUAUUGCGAACAAGUGACCAACUUAACGACAACUAGAUAAUUCCUUUAAAGUAAAUUAAAUUUUAUCAUAAUAUGUUUUUUUACUAUUUUGUUUUCCACUAUAAUGAAAGGGUCAAAAUAUGAUUAAGUGGGAUGUGCAAACUGUAGUGUGUAAUAAUACAAAGCUAAAAAAGCAAAAUCAUUUUAUAUAUAGAAAAAAAAGAUACAAAAUCAAAUCUUUUCUAAUAUUUUUAGAUUUGUAAAUUUCAUAAACACUUAAAAUUAAAUUAAUGCAUCACAUCUUAAAAUCACUUAAACGAUGAAGCAUUAAAAUACAAAGGUCAAUUGACCUAAAUAUUGGAAUAUAUACAAGAAGAUAUUUUCUCUCAUAAUCCUAAAAUAAACAACUAACAAAAAACGAUACUAACGCUAUAUCGUAGAAUCAUUAAGUUUCUCUGUGAAUGCUUCUGCCUAUAACGAAAGAAGAAGACAAUUCGAGGCUUUUUCAACGAGCUUUCUCGACGAUAUGAAAAAGCUUAGUAUGCGUAAAUGAGGGACUGAAUGUACAGAAAAAUGCGUGUAAAAAAAUAAAACAAAAAAAGGGUUACGAUAAAAGGGAAGCAGCAGAAAACUUAUUUUUCUACAGAAUGUCCUUGCUCUUUAAUAAGGCAUAAAUAACAAACGAAACUAAAUAAUAAUAUACUUCAAUGAAAGGAAAAAUGAAAAAGGCGUUGUAUGUGCAUGAUAAUGUAAGAUAUUUGCAUACACGUUCUACAAUGUCGACUUUUACGUUUGGUUUAGUUAUGUCAAACACAUAUCCAAUAUGUAAGAGAUUUUUUUCUAUGAUAAAUAACAAAUGGUUUUAAAAGAAAAAAUAUUUAAAUAUAUUUUCGUAAAAACGUGGAAUAUAAUACAGCAUAACUUGUUAAACGUGAUAGAACCGCAAUAUAAACUGUAUUUUGUUUUUCGCUAUAAAUGAAAGGGUCAAAAUAUGAUUAAGCGUUCCUUGCAUGACAGGGUAAACGAACAAAUAAAGCACAUAGCUGCCAAGAUUAAUUUAUACUUAUUGUUAGAAGAAAAAGUUGUGCAUAGUUAACUUGUAAAAAUUUCUCAUCAUUUUCAGGUCCUAAGAGUUGAUAUAAAACAAGAAACGUCAAUAUUUUUUACAGCCAGUGUUAUAAUUAAAAGUGUAACAUCAAAAAUACAUUAUCUGUUUCUUAAGAAAAUAAUAAAUAUUUAUUUACAUCUUUACUGAUUCUUUGCUCGUUCUUUUUCUUUUAAUUAGCUUUCACUGUAAAUAUUCAUCUCGGAUUAUCAGAUAACCCAAACUAUUAAAUUGUAUUAUUACUUAAAUAAUCUAUGUAGAGCACCAGUCACGUAUAAUUCUAUUGAGAGAAAUAGUAACUUGUGCCUACCCCAAUCCACUGAUGAAACUGAGACCUUCCGGGAAAAUCUAGUCG
rnacentral:lncRNA from 1 species